CUGAAUUGUUUGGUUAUUUGUUGCACCGAUCCGUCUCCGUUAGAAUUUGAUUCUCCACAAUUUGGGUCGGUUCGUUGCACUUUAGUUUGAAAAAGAAGCUUAAGUAAGGUUAUAAGGCAAAGGUAACAAAUGAGGUAGACCGACGAGGGACAAGAAGGAGACGUGAUUGCCAUAAGGGAAGGUCCUUCAAAUGCUUCCGCUUUAUGUUUCUUGUUUUUCCUUUGUACAUGAGGUUGUUUAAAAAUUUUGUGAUGGAACUGAGUUUACAAACUGUUGUUUUGUGAAUAGUACUUUUAAAGUUUUGGUUAUUUGAAAUAGGGCCCAAACUUAAGUUUGUUUUCUUU